rnacentral:rRNA from 1 species
AUUGAACGCUGGCGGCAUGCUUUACACAUGCAAGUCGAACGGCAGCGGGCCCGCAAGGGUGCCGGCGAGUGGCGCACGGGUGAGUAAUGCAUCGGAACGUGUCCUGAAGUGGGGGAUAACCCAGCGAAAGUUGGGCUAAUACCGCAUAUUGAGGAGACUCGAAAGCGGGGGACCGGUGACGGCCUCGCGCUUGGGGAGCGGCCGAUGCCCGAUUAGCUAGUUGGUGGGGUAAAGGCUCACCAAGGCGACGAUCGGUAGCUGGUCUGAGAGGAUGAUCAGCCACACUGGGACUGAGACACGGCCCAGACUCCUACGGGAGGCAGCAGUGGGGAAUUUUGGACAAUGGGGGCAACCCUGAUCCAGCCAUGCCGCGUGAGUGAAGAAGGCCUUCGGGUUGUAAAGCUCUUUCGGUGGGGAAAAACGAGCUCGGGCCAAUACCCCGGGUGAGGGAUGGUACCCGCAGAAGAAGCACCGGCUAACUACGUGCCAGCAGCCGCGGUAACAC